AAGUUAGAGCAGUUCUUUUUGUGUGUUUGCAAUCCUACCAAACCACCUGUGGAUCUUUUUAAAGUCACAUUUUUUACUAUGAAAAGCAGAAUAGAUUCCAUCUAUAACGCUUGUUGAUAUAUUUUUUCAUGAUCACUGGUAUUUCUUAUGGUGACUUCCUUCUCUCCAGUGUGUGUGUGUGUGUGUAUGCGUGUGUGUGUGCGUGCGGGGCUAUACGACAUGAGUCAGUCAGCAUUCCAUCCUGUUACUGUGUGGUUGGUAGGAAGUGUUGACAGCAUAAUCUACAGUCUGAAGUAGCAUGAAGCUGCCAAGCCACAUGAAUCACCAUGCAGAUUGGAGAUCAGAAUAGCACCCAGCCAAUCACAGACACUCUGGCUGACAAUGAGGUGAGAUUGGCAGGGUAAGGGGAGGAGGCCAAGCUAACUGUCAGGCUGAUGUGACUUGGAGCUUACUCCACAGUGACCAAUGCUUUGUUAGUGUUUGUCUUUCCUGCUCAUACAGUGCUGCUGUUGCUCACAAAUCAAAUCACAUCACAUUUUAUUGGUCACAUACACAUGGUAAGCAGAUGUUAAUGCGAGUGCAGCGAAAUGCUUGUGCUUCUAGUUCCGACAGUGCAGUAAUAUCUAACAAGUAAUCUAACAAUUCCCAACAACUACCUUAUACACACAAAUCUAAGUAAAGGGAUGGAAUAAGAAUAUGUAAACUACCGUUCAAAAGUUUGGGGUCACUUAGAAAUGUCCUUGUUUUUGAAAGAAAAGCUAAAAAUGUUGUCCAUUAAAAUAACAUCAAAUUGACCAGAAAUGCAGUGUAGACAUUGUUAAUGUUGUAAAUUAUUAUUGUAGCUGGAAACGGCUGAGUGUCGGUUGCUGAUAAUGGUCCUCAGUACACCUAUGUAGAUAUUCCAUAACAAAUCUGCCAUUUCCAGCUACAAUAGUCCCGUUGAUGUGGAUAGGGGGGUGCUCCCACUGCUGUUUCCUGAAGUCCACAAUCAUCUCCUUUGUUUUGUUGAUGUUGAGUGAGAGGUUGUUUUCCUGACACCACACCCUUAGUGCCCUCACCUCUUCCCUGUAGGCUGUCUCGUCGUUGUUGGUAAUCAAGCCCACUACUGUUGUGUCGUCUGCAAACUUGAUGAUUGAGUUGGAGGCGUCCAUGACCACGCAGUCAUGGGUGAACAGGGAGUACAGGAGAGGGCUGAGCAAGCACCCUUGUGGGGCCCUAGUGUUGAGGAUUAGCGAAGUGGAGAUGUUGUUUCCUACCUUCACCACCUGGGGGCGGCCCGUCAGAAAGUCCAGGACCCAAUUGCACAGGGCGGGGUUGAGACCUAGGGCCUCAAGCUUAAUGAUGAGCUUGGAGGGUACUGUGGUGUUGAAUGCUGAGCUGGACCGUACAUAUUUAUUUUUGCAUUGUCUGAGUAGGCAAGAGACCUCACAAUACGAUGCUAAGGUUCCGAGUUGAAAGAUGAGUUGAAAGUUGAAAGAAUAAAUUAGUUGAAAGAUAAAAGGUUUUUGCAGUAUAGGACACAGCAUUAACAUGGCCCACUUUUUAACUCUGGAUGAGUUUCUAAUGGUACCCUAUUCCCUUUAUAGUGCACUACUUUCAACCAGGUCUAAUAGGGCUCUUGUCAAAGGAAGUGUACAAUAAAGGGAAUCGGGUGCCAUUUGGAACACACAACUGUGAUAGGCAAAAUGAGUUUAUGCCCAAAUGUAAUAACAUUCCACUAUUCCUCCUCUGCACUGCCACUAUUACUAUUGUUCAGAACCGAAUGGCUCAAAUGGCAUGAUUAUAUAUCCUUGGCUUGUCAAAGUAAACAGUCAUCUCUCUGGCUGUCUUCAUGGUGACAUGAAAUGAUGGGAUGCAUCAUGUACAAUUAUAUCUUUUGUCGAACAUGAGUGAAGUAAUAUCUGCUAAGCAAAAUAUGUGACCAGGGUUUCACUAGGAUAUACUUUGAGGCUGAAGGAAAUACUGUACACACUACUGGCAAAUAAUAGUUUGAAAUAGCCAGGCAUUGGUAGUGUAUGCUACCAAUGCCUGGUCAUAUCAUUUCCUGGACAUAUCAUUUCCAGGUCAUAUCAUUUCCAGGUCAUAUCAUUUCCAGGUCAUAUCAUUUCCUGGACAUAUCAUUUCCAGGUCAUAUCAUUUGCAAUUCAGAACAUAUUGGAUGUACAAAACAGAAUGCAAUCCAAUGGACACAACAUACAUGGAGAUUGACAUAAGAUUUAGUGAUUUAAAUGGUAUGAGUCUUGUCAAAGCACUAAGUGUUGGGGUAGAGCUGACAGUACUCCUGUAGUGCAGAUGAACCUGCCAUGUCUACGGCCCCAAUGGCACCCUAUUCCCGGCAUAAAGCCCUGGUCAAAAGUUGUGCACUAUAUAAGGAAUAGGGUGCCAUUAGGGAAUCAGAUAUGGACUCAGCUGUUAAUAAGACACAGGGACAUCCUGUGGCAGUUUAUAAUAGCAAUAAGGCACCUCGCGGGUUUGUGGUAUAUGCCACGGCUAAGGGCUGUUCUUAGGCACGACGCAAUGCGGAGUGCUGGGACAGAGCCCUUAGCCGUGGUAUACUGGCCAUAUACCACAAACCCCCGAAGUGCCUUAUUGCUAUUAUUAACUGGUUACCGAUGUAAUUAGAACAGUAAAAAUAAAUGUUUUGUCAUACCCAUGGUAUACAGUCUGAUUUAAAACCAGCAGCAUACCACCCUGCAUCCCGCUUCUGAAGCUAAGCAGGGUUGGUCCUGGUCAGUCCCUGGAUGGGAGACCAGAUGCUGCUGGAAGUGGUGUUGGAGUGCCAGUAAGGAGGCAAUCUUUCCUCAGGUCUAAAAAAAUAUCCAAAUUCCCCAGGGUAGUGAUUGGGGACAUUGCCCUGUGUAGGGUGCUGUCUUUCGGAUGGGAUGUUAAAUGGGUGUCCUGACUAUCUGAGGUCAUUAAAGAUCCCAUGGCACUUAUUGUAAGAGUAGGGGUGUUAACCCCGGUGUCCUGGCUAAAUUCCCAAGCUGUCCCUCACACGGUCACAUAAUCACCCCCAGCUUACAAUUGGCUCAUUUCUCCCCUGUAACUAUUCCUCAGGUCAUUGCUGCAAAUGUGUUCUCAGUCAUCUUACCUGGCAAAAACAAA